rnacentral:rRNA from 1 species
ACGUAGGGUGCAAGCGUUAAUCGGAAUUACUGGGCGUAAAGCGUGCGCAGGCGGUUCUAUAAGACAGAUGUGAAAUCCCCGGGCUCAACCUGGGAACUGCAUUUGUGACUGUAGAGCUAGAGUACGGUAGAGGGGGAUGGAAUUCCGCGUGUAGCAGUGAAAUGCGUAGAUAUGCGGAGGAACACCGAUGGCGAAGGCAAUCCCCUGGACCUGUACUGACGCUCAUGCACGAAAGCGUGGGGAGCAAACAGGAUUAGAUACCCUGGUAGUCCACGCCCUAAACGAUGUCAACUGGUUGUUGGGAGGGUUUCUUCUCAGUAACGUAGCUAACGCGUGAAGUUGACCGCCUGGGGAGUACGGCCGCAAGGUUG